rnacentral:rRNA from 1 species
UACGUAGGGGGCAAGCGUUGUCCGGAUUUACUGGGCGUAAAGGGCGCGUAGGCGGCCUGCUAAGUCGAACGUGAAAUCCCUGGGCUCAACCCAGGAACUGCGUCCGAUACUGGUUGGCUUGAAUCCGGGAGAGGGAUGUGGAAUUCCAGGUGUAGCGGUGAAAUGCGCAGAUAUCAGGAAGAACACCCGUGGCGAAGGCGGCUCUCUGGGACGGUACUGACGCUGAGACGCGAAAGCGUGGGGAGCGAACAGG